CAGUAAUUUUGCUAGGACUGUUUGGGAGUGGUCUGAGUGGGGAGAUGAAAACUAGUUAUUGACAGAGAGGUUUGGAACUCUUAUUUGUAUAUGAACUCAUUUGCAGCCUGGUGUUGUCACCAGGCAGGCCAAAACUCCAUCCCACCAAAACAGGCUGAAAUGUCAGGUGGUCUUUUCAAACAGCUCUUACACUAAAGGGCAUUAUCAUUUUCAUAGUAUUAUUCCAAGCUCAUAGUGUGGAUAUAUAGUGUUUGUGUGUAUAACACAGAGAAUUCACGUUUUUGUGUGCACUGAGCCUUUAACUCUGCCUCUGGUCUGUAAAAGUGUGUCACUGGGUUAAAGUGACUCAAGCGCCCAGGCAAGUGGGAGUGGCUGACAACUGGGUCACAUGGUUAACGCACUUUAGAACAUUGAGUACAGAAGAGUCGUUCAACAAGGGAGUUCGUCCAGCGUUUUUCAUCUUGUUACAUAUCUUUAAAUGUACAAAAACUAUUCCGGUUGUAUUAGAUGCCGCAUAAAAGUCUCGGGAAUUUUGACUGAAAGAAGACCGGAACUUAUUUUGUUCAGGAUACUGACAUGAGAGUGCAGAUAAUUAUAUUCAUGCUACCAAUAUUUACUACAGAAAUGUAGUUGAGACUGAAAUAAGAUAGUGUUGAGCUUUAGAUGAUCAACGCUUUUAAUUUGAGUUUGUUACAGUGUAACCACUGUGCUACUAAGGACAAUAGAACUUUGCAAUCCUUAAAGUCAAACUGGCGAGUUAUUGACAUGACAUUUAGUCAGCAUAGGUUGCUUUCUCCAAAUAUUCACGGAAUCGAGGCGCCUGCAGACAUGGGAUCAAUCAAGACUGCUGCCUAGCCAUGUGCCGAUGCUCCUCGACUCUCACUGCUCAUUGGUCGAGAAGAGGCUGUGACGCAUGCAGUGCAUGAAUCUGCACUUAGUCCAAGCUCGCCGGCGGCAUGCAGGUCCACGUGAGACUGAAGGAGGCUGUUUUGGUGACCUAGAUUUAAUCUCUUAGACCUGACAGCUCCACAUGUGGGUGGGUUUUGGAAGAGAAUAGUCGUAGCUGGUUAGGUAAUCAUGGCCAGGUCUUCGAGACCAUUAACUACAUUUAGGGCUACAUAGUAUAGUAUAAUAUAUAUGUUGAUUUUUGUGACAGUACACCAAGCAGCAUGUGUAUUAUUUUCCUAGUUUGUCUUAUUUAGCCCAUAUUUAAGCAUUUGGUUUAAUGUCUACAUUCUUAUGUAAUAAUGUUAUUUAACACCAAUGACUACAAGAAUAACUUUGAUUUUGCCAGAAACUAAAAUACAAUAUAUUUUUGUGCCCUGUCAAGCAAAAGAGCAGUAACUGCUCAUAAAUGGAAAUGUAGAAAAAUUACUUCAGUGUUUUUUAAUUGUGGAGCCAAAUGAA
rnacentral:lncRNA from 1 species